rfam:Brochothrix thermosphacta DSM 20171 = FSL F6-1036 c24, whole genome shotgun sequence.
UUCUUAUCUAGAGUGGUGGAGGGACAGGCCCUAUGAAACCCGACAACCAGCGUUUUGCGUAUGGUGUUAAUUCCUGCAGGUUUAAACCUGAAAGAUGAGAG